UUGUGGAGGAGGACGCCGAAGGUGGGGCUAAUGACUGGGGUGAAGUCGUAACAAGGUAGCCGUACCGGAAGGUGCGGCUGGAUCACCUCCUAACAGGGAGACAAAAACUGAUUGUGAUGUCUAGAUUUUAUUUUUAGGCCAUAAUCCUGUCACCUUAGGUCGAUCGGUACCUCAGAUUAAUUAUCUAAUAGAAGUUUUUAAGUGAUUAAUAAAUUUUUUAUUAGUGAUUAGAUUUCAGUUCCUAAAUCUGUCUAGGUCACACCCAACAAAAUUAUCUCUUGGGCUAUUAGCUCAGGUGGUUAGAGCGCACCCCUGAUAAGGGUGAGGUCCCUGGUUCAAGUCCAGGAUGGCCCAUUCGUUGUUGGGGGUAUAGCUCAGUUGGUAGAGCGCCUGCUUUGCAAGCAGGAUGUCAGCGGUUCGAGUCCGCUUACCUCCACUGAUCAACUGCCUAAUAACUCAAAUUUGUUGAGAUUAUUUUUGUUUAAUGUGACUUAGAUGUUGUUCCUCUGAACGAACCUAGCUUCCUGUCAUUCCUCUGUAAUUUUAAUAGAGGCUGAUAAGACGCUGGGCUCACUAAAAUCCUUUAUGGCUUUUAGUUAGUUUGGCAGAACCUUGACAACUACAUAUGUGAGUCUGGAAAGAAUAAAGCAUCUCAUAGAUGCAUAAUUCUAUUUACUUAGAUUUUCUAAGUAGAUAGAUUUAUGUGAAUUCUUGAGCAAGAGCUGAAAUUCUAUAAAUUGUUUUUGAUCUUUAGUUUUGAGGCAAUUACUUGCAACUCAACUUGAAUCAUUAACAAUGACUAGAAGUUAUUAAUGGUCAAGCUACAA
rnacentral:misc_RNA from 1 species